UAUUUCUAUGUUCUUGUUGACAGCUGGAUGAUCACAAACCAGUGUGAAAGAUUUUGAAGUCUCCUGCCAUGAAUGGAUCAAGACUAGGCAGACAUGCAAGUCAUUCAUGGGAGAAAAAAUGGGAACUCUAGGAAGAAAGACAAGAGGAAGAAGAUAAAAUAAUAAAAAUGUGCCUUUGUGCAAUGAAAAGUCAUUUCCUCUUCGCCCACACACGCACAGGUUUUAAGAACAGAAUGUAUUGUUUCAUGUAGUAAAAAAAUAUGAAAGGGCAGAGAACAAAAUAAGGGGGUUUGCUCUUUGUGGCUUUUUCUUUGUUUGGGUUUUUUUUUUUGGUUAGUUUUGUUUUUGUUUUUUCGGGGGGGUUUUUUUGGUUGGUUAUUUUCUUUGGUUGGUUUUUUCUUUUCAGUGGUUUUUGUUUGUUUGCUUGUUUGGUUUUGGGGUUUUCUUAGGAUAAAUCCAUAACUUUUCAAUUUUGUUUUUUUCAGAAAUCCAGCUGAGCUCUGUGGUUCCAUGACAGAGACAGCUGUACCCAGGAUGGUUCUGACUCCAAGGCAGGACCAAAUCCUGCCUGCGUGGGAAGACAUGGUACAGAAGGGAGAAACAUCAUCUGAUGGUGAAAAUUAAGCCUCAGAAAACCUGGCUGAUGUUCAGAGGAUGAGAUGGAAGCCUCAGCAACACCCAGGAUUGGACCCCAAUGUGGAGCCAUGCUGCUUUGCGAGGUAUACAGCUUAAAAAUGCAAACUACUCCAGAAAGGGGCAACAGCCCUUUUUAUGGGAUUGAUUCUGUUAAUAAGGAAAAUGCAGACAUCUGAAGAGAACAGUCAGGUUAUGAAUGUGCACCUGCCCUGGGAAAUGUGAGUUUGGAAA
rnacentral:lncRNA from 13 species